CGCUCACCUGCCAAGAGGGGAGAGCCACAGCUCAGGAGGGACGCUCCACUUUCACACACAGCUGCUCCCCACCAGCUGCUGUACCCACAGCAGCACCCAGGCUGCAGCAGACCCCUUUUUACAGCAGUUCCUGGCAGCAGAGGCAUGGCCACAGCACAGGGCAUGGCUCCAACAGGGCAAAAGCUGCACGCUUGGACCUGCCUAUGGCAGGGAAACACUCCCUGCCCUGGGUGUCAACAGCAAGACGUGGCUGGUGAGACAUUUCACCCUGGGAACACUCCAGCCUGGGCAGGACUUGGACCAGCACUGGAACCUCACUGUUACAAAGGUUGUCCUCAAGAUGACAGAAAUGUAGCAACCUUUUUUUCUUGAACCAAAUCAUGAUCUUUAUUUCCUGUUACUUUGUACCUUCACCCACACAUCCCUGUCAGUAGGCAGCCUUGGCCAGGAAGGGCAAAGCAAGCAAGCUGCUCAUGGACUCUCAUAAACCUUGUGUGAAGUUACAGGUAAACAUCACUUGUCAAGAGCUGGGACGCAGAUCAACCCUCUGAACAAAGUUUUCCACCCCACAGGAGUCUAAGCAUCAUGUGAGCAGCUUUGGCUUUGAGGAUAAGGUUAAAUGAGGAUACUGAGGAUGAUGAAGGAUAAACAUUCACCUCAAGUGUCCAGGAGCCACAGAGCAGCCAGCUAGAUCCCAACCUGUGGCAGAAAGAACCCACCCAGGGACACAGGCUGCUGGUGCUGCCAGACCAUCUCCUCCCCAGCACAUCUCCCCACUACCCACCAGCUUCCCUGAAUCCAUCGUCUCUUUCAGCCGCUUGCCCAGCUCCGACCCCGAGGCCACCAUGGCCCGCAGCAUGUCCCCAGUUGCCAGGUGGCAAACGCAGUAGGUCUCUGCCAGCUUCGGUGCCUGUAAGAGAGGACAGACAAGAGCUCGCCCCAGUCCUGCACAGCACAGUGCUGGGCCAGAGAACCAGAAAAACAGGCCAAGAUCUCACAGGAGACAAGAGCUUUGCUGGCCCUGGUUGCCAGGAGAGUCCAUGACAGAGCCAAGACCACAGUGUCAAGUACAGGAACCUAGGGUAAAUUGAUCCUUCUCCCCCCACUCAGUGGAGGCAGCCACCCUUCCACACACAGAGUGUGCGACACCCGAGAGGGAGCUGCAAACCCGCAAGGAGGAAAAACUCUCCUCUGCCAGCUUGUGCUUUGUGGGAAGGAGCAGUGAAACCCUUCCCAAGGGCACAAAUGCAGGCAAAGAGAGAACUGCUUCACCUGAGGGGGCGUCUGCAUGGGUGGCAGAGGUGGGUCUGCUGCUGGGGACCCCACUGACACUGGCAGUAGGACACCAAGGGCAGAAUGAGUCCCAGAUACCUCCCCUGGCCAGUGUCCCAGCCAGCCAGGCGCUGCUCAGCCUUGCAUCUGCAGCGAGCCUCGUUUCCCUGGCAGCAGCCUUGAUGAGGUAUUUUUGGCUCUCU